rnacentral:lncRNA from 1 species
AGACACUGUUCACGAGGCCUCAAAGCGUGGAGGCGGUGGCCCGGGGCCGACUCUCGGGUGACCGCCAAUUUGGUCCCAAGACACUUCAGGAUCUCGCAACGGAUGGAGGACAGCGCGGUUCCAAGAGAGGGCGCCAAAGGCGACGCGCUGGCGGCCAGCUCCAAGCCAACCAGGCCCAUUGCGUCCGUCUGCAGGAACCUGUCCCUUCACCCUGCUUUGGACACUGAGCUUCGGAGGAUCUGGCUGCGAGCUGAUUCAACGCCAGGGCGCCGCCUAGAGGACAAGAGGGGAUAUAAACUGUUUGAAGUUCAUCAGCACGGUGAAGUUUUAUUGUAUUUCCGGUCCCUAAAAGAGAAGCCGGCAGCCAGGCAGACUCCCUCCUUAUCUCCGAGUUUCCACGCCAGGGACACACACGUGGCCAAGCGGACACUUGCCUUCGGGAGCAGGGAGGGAGAGAGCCCGCUCCGAUCGACUCUCCCUCACCGGCUCAGUUCUACUUGGCUCCACUCUCCUGUCUACUCCCCUGUCUCAAGGCUGGGGUUGCCUUAGAGUUGGAUAUCUGAGAGCUGCCUGGGAGUCUGGGUAACCCUGGAGCCCAGGGCCUGGCCAGAUGAACCCUUUCCGCUCUGCCUGCCGCCCACUGCCCACUCCGUUUGGUCUCCUUGAUGCCUCCUCCCAAAGGACUCAGUCACCUCCCACUGUCUUGGAUAUCUGUGAUGGCUGAGAGUUGGGCACAAGCCAGGAGCCCAAAGGUUCUUCCUCUGAUCCUUUCUCUAAACUAAACCAGUGAAGAAUCUGCAGCAAAGCCCGGGAGAGGAAUGGGAACCAGGAGGGCAGCGGGCAGAGCCCAGCGCCUAUACAGCUUGGGUCUUAAAAACAGCCUUGCUCCAUCACGUUUCCAUAAAUAAAAGAGCCCCGGCCCAGA